UACGAAGGGGGCUAGCGUUGCUCGGAAUCACUGGGCGUAAAGGGUGCGUAGGCGGGUCUUUAAGUCAGGGGUGAAAUCCUGGAGCUCAACUCCAGAACUGCCCUUGAUACUGAAGAUCUUGAGUUCGGGAGAGGUGAGUGGAACUGCGAGUGUAGAGGUGAAAUUCGUAGAUAUUCGCAAGAACACCAGUGGCGAAGGCGGCUCACUGGCCCGAUACUGACGCUGAGGCGCGAAAGCGUGGGGAGCAAACAGG
rnacentral:rRNA from 1 species